rnacentral:rRNA from 1 species
AUUGAACGCUGGCGGCAGGCUUAACACAUGCAAGUCGAGCGGAGGGAGGUAGCUUGCUACUGAUCUUAGCGGCGGACGGGUGAGUAAUGCUUAGGAAUCUGCCUAUUAGUGGGGGACAACAUUUCGAAACGAAUGCUAAUACCGCAUACGUCCUACGGGAGAAAGCAGGGGAUCUUCGGACCUUCCGCUAAUAGAUGAGCCUAAGUCGGAGUAGCUAGUUGGUGGGGUAACGGCCCACCAAGGCGACGAUCUGUAGCGGGUCUUGGAGGAUUGUCCGCCACCACUGGACUGAGACACGGGCCAGGCUCCUUCGGGAGGCCGCAGUGGGGAAUAUUGGGCCAUGGGCGGAAGCCUUAUCCCGGCAAGGCGCGUGUGUGAAGAAGGCCUUAUGGUUUUAAAGCACUUUAAGCUAGGAAGAGACUACUUUAGUUAAUACCUAGAGAUAGUUGACGUUACUCGCAGAAUAAGCACCGGCUAACUCUGUGCCAGCCGCCGCGGUAA